GGUGGUUUGGCUCAGUAGUUAAGAGCAUAGGUCUUGUAACCGAAAGGUUGCGGGAUCAAAUCCUGCUGAGGCUG
rnacentral:tRNA from 1 species